AUUCAAUGAUGUUAUAUAGUAUUUGCUACUCUUGAGUGCCAUGAUGUUAAAAAACAAGUUCACUGAGAAU